CCCGGGCGAACUCAGGGGCCAAGGCCGGCCGGGCUCUACGCUCUCCCAAAGGACAGCAGCACUGAGGACUUGUUCUGACGGGGACAUGUGUGACCUCGGCUUUCAGCACCAAGGAGAUGGGGACAGAUCGGGCUGCAGAGAGAGCUGCCUCUGUGAAUCCCGGAAGAAAGGGCAGGGAGAACAAAGUUUACACUGAAAAUCUGGACUUUCCAAGCAGCAUGUUGAGACAGACCCACAGCAGACAGAUUCCAUGGAAUAGCCUGAUGUUUCCCAGAAGGCUGGGGACCCCCACUGCCCACCCCCAGCAGUGCCCCAGGCUGACAAGGGAGUUGAAGUCGGAAAGUCAGCUGCCUCUCCAGUGCCUGAGAAAGCGGCCUCUGUGCUCCUGCUGGAUUUUACAGCAGGGCCAAGGGCCUCACUUCCCUCCUUUGCAAAGGAAAAUAGCCAUUCUGGUAUCAACUUUGCUGAUGAGGAUUUAUCUCCGAAGCCAAAAGGAAAAAAAGUCACCUCUCGAGUCCUAAUUAGAAUGAUUCCUCUACUUAAUUUAUUCAGGAUAGCCUCCUGAAUUGGCCUGGUGUGUCCUUGAGUAUUGUUACUAUUACUGCUGCUGCUGCUGUUGUUGUUUUAAAGAAGCCAUUUCUGACCAGAGGCUGGGGAGAUGCCUUUUGUUCGCCUCUGGGCCCUGCGGUACCGGCCCCCGCCAAGGGAACCAUUCCUGCACUGCUGUGUUUAUUUGAGUUAUGUAAUAUAAACAGCUCCAAGGA